UGAGUCGGCAGGGCGACCGCGUCGGCGGGUGCUACCCGCCGCCGAGGAAAGUCCGGACUCCACAGGGCAGGGUGGUUGUUAACGGCAACCCGGGGCGACCCGCGGGACAGUGCCACAGAAAACAGACCGCCCGGGGCGCGCGAGCGCGCCGGGUAAGGGUGAAACGGUGGUGUAAGAGACCACCAGCACCCCGGGUGACCGGGGUGGCUAGGUAAACCCCACCCGGAGCAAGGCCAAGAGGGCGGCGAGACCUGGUCGCGCCGCCUGCGCAGGCGUUCGAGGGCUGCCCGCCCGAUGCCUGCGGGUAGGCUGCUUGAGCCUGCCGGCGACGGCAGGCCUAGAUGGAUGGUCGCCCACCGCGGCGCAGCGCGCCGCGGAGACAGGAUCCGGCUUACAUGCCGGCUCAUCCG
rnacentral:RNase_P_RNA from 1 species